rnacentral:rRNA from 1 species
UACGGGGGGGGCAAGCGUUGUUCGGAAUUACUGGGCGUAAAGGGCUCGUAGGUGGCCAACUAAGUCAGACGUGAAAUCCCCAGGCUCAACUUGGGAACUGCGUCUGAUACUGGAUGGCUAGAGGUUGGGAGAGGGAUGCGGAAUUCCAGGUGUAGCGGUGAAAUGCGUAGAUAUCUGGAGGAACACCGGUGGCGAAGGCGGCAUCCUGGACCAAUUCUGACGCUGAGGAGCGAAAGCCAGGGGAGCAAACGGG